AACGAACGCUGGCGGCAUGCCUAACACAUGCAAGUCGAACGAGACCUUCGGGUCUAGUGGCGCACGGGUGCGUAACGCGUGGGGACCUGCCCUUAGGUUCGGAAUAACUCCCCGAAAGGGGUGCUAAUACCGGAUAAUGUCUUCGGACCAAAGAUUUAUCGCCUUUGGAUGGGCCCGCGUUGGAUUAGCUAGUUAGUAGGGUAAAAGCCUACCAAGGCGACGAUCCAUAGCUGGUCUGAGAGGAUGAUCAGCCACACUGGGACUGAGACACGGCCCAGACUCCUACGGGAGGCAGCAGUGGGGAAUAUUGGACAAUGGGCGAAAGCCUGAUCCAGCAAUGCCGCGUGAGUGAUGAAGGCCUUAGGGUUGUAAAGCUCUUUUACCCGGGAUGAUAAUGACAGUACCGGGAGAAUAAGCUCCGGCUAACUCCGUG
rnacentral:rRNA from 1 species